rnacentral:rRNA from 1 species
CAGAGGUCGCAAGCGUUAAUCGGAUUUACUGGGCGUAAAGCGUGCGUAGGAGGCCACCUAAGUCGGUUGUGAAAUCCCCGGGCUCAACCUGGGAAUUGCAGUCGAUACUGGGCGGCUAGAGUUCGGUAGAGGGCAGCGGAACUCCAGGUGUAGCGGUGAAAUGUGUAGAUAUCUGGAAGAACACCGAUGGCGAAGGCAACUGCCUGGGCCUGAACUGACUCUGAGGCACGAAAGCGUGGGGAGCAAACAGGAUUAGAUACCCUGGUAGUCCACGCCUUAAACGAUGGAAACCUGACGUCGGUUUGCUCUGCGAAUCGGUGUCGUAGCUAACGCGCUAAGUUUCCCGCCUGGGGAGUACGGCCGCAAGGUUG